rnacentral:rRNA from 1 species
GGGAGGCAGCAGUGAGGAAUUUUGCGCAAUGGGCGAAAGCCUGACGCAGCAACGCCGCGUGAGUGAUGAAGGCUUUCGGGUCGUAAAGCUCUGUCAAUGGGAAAGAAGUGUAUGGAGGUUAAUACCCUUUAUACUUGACGGUACCCAUAAAGGAAGCACCGGCUAACUCCGUGCCAGCAGCCGCGGUAAUACGGGGGGUGCAAGCGUUGUUCGGAAUUAUUGGGCGUAAAGCGCGUGUAGGCGGUUUGAUUAGUCUGAUGUGAAAGCCCUGGGCUCAACCCAGGAAGUGCAUUGGAUACUGUCAGACUUGAAUACGGGAGAGGGUAGUGGAAUUCCUAGUGUAGGAGUGAAAUCCGUAGAUAUUAGGAGGAACACCGGUGGCGAAGGCGGCUGCCUGGACCGAUAUUGACGCUGAGACGCGAAAGCGUGGGUAGCAAACAGGAUUAGAUACCCGGGUAC